rnacentral:miRNA from 2 species
AUAAAGCUAGGUUACCAAAGACA